AGUCUGAGCUGUCCUUGUUAGACUGCUUAGCAAUGCUGGAAUCUUGGAGACAUCAGCAUGCUUAUGUCACAAGCCACAUCUGUCACUGCAGGAUUUGUGUUUGUCCUCACGUUAAUAAUAACUGAUGGAGGCACCAAGUCGCCUUCCCUUAAAAGCAAGGAGUCUGAAUAUCAGUUUGGGAAGAGGUGCUUCAAAGAUCAAACCAGGCCCAUGACAGUGACAUCCCUGGGGACCCUUUACCUUCACCACCACCACCACCACCAUCAUCAUCAUCAUUUUCUAGUCUACAGAUGAAGAAACCAAUUCAGAAAAUCAGUUUGCAAUGAUUUUCUUCAUUCUAUGCCCUGGUCUUCUAUUAAUGGCAGAGCCUUAGGUUUUCACAUGGACUCACAGUGAGGCAGUCUGCCCCAGGAGAUCAGAGACUGUGGCUUUUCAAGCCUGCCUGAGCUAGCAUCGUACUGUACUCACAUUGUUCAAUAAACAAACAUGGAAGUUCUGCUCCACUUGUGGGACUCUAUUUUAAAAAUUUA
rnacentral:lncRNA from 1 species